rnacentral:rRNA from 1 species
UACAGGAGGUCUCAAGCGUUGUUCGGAAUCACUGGGCGUAAAGGGUGCGUAGGCGGCGCGGAAAGUCAGAUGUGAAAUCCGGAGGCUCAACCUCCGAAUUGCAUCCGAUACUCCCGCGCUAGAGAAUUGUAGAGGAGCUUGGAAUUCUCGGUGUAGCAGUGAAAUGCGUAGAUAUCGAGAAGAACGCUCGCAGCGAAAGGCGAAGCUCUGGGCAAUUUCUGACG